rnacentral:rRNA from 1 species
GACAGAGGGUGCAACCGUUGUUCGGAAUUACUGGGCGUAAAGCGCGUGUAGGCGGCAACGCAAGUCGGAUGUGAAAGCCCAUGGCUCAACCAUGGAAGUGCACCCGAAACUGCGUUGCUAGAGUCUCGGAGAGGAAGGUGGAAUGCUUGGUGUAGAGGUGAAAUUCGUAGAUAUCAAGCGGAACACCGGUGGCGAAGGCGGCCUUCUGGACGAGUACUGACGCUGAGACGCGAAAGCGUGGGUAGCAAACAGG